UACGUAGGUGGCAAGCGUUGUCCGGAAUUAUUGGGCGUAAAGCGCGCGCAGGCGGCUUCUUAAGUCUGAUGUGAAAUCUUGCGGCUCAACCGCAAGCGGUCAUUGGAAACUGGGAGGCUUGAGUGCAGAAGAGGAGAGUGGAAUUCCACGUGUAGCGGUGAAAUGCGUAGAUAUAUGGAAGAACACCAGUGGCGAAGGCGGCUGUCUGGUUUGUAACUGACGCUGAGGCGCGAAAGCGUGGGGAGCAAACAGG
rnacentral:rRNA from 1 species